rnacentral:ncRNA from 2 species
ACAAAAGGGGAGCCAUGCGGCUGAGAGGAAACCGGUGUUUCGACCCUUAUAACCUGUUUGGGUAAUGCCAGCGUAGGGAGCAUAU